AUUGAACGCUGGCGGCAGGCCUAACACAUGCAAGUCGAGCGGACGAAGGGAGCUUGCUCCUGGAUUCAGCGGCGGACGGGUGAGUAAUGCCUAGGAAUCUGCCUGGUAGUGGGGGAUAACGUCCGGAAACGGGCGCUAAUACCGCAUACGUCCUGAGGGAGAAAGUGGGGGAUCUUCGGACCUCACGCUAUCAGAUGAGCCUAGGUCGGAUUAGCUAGUUGGUGGGGUAAAGGCCUACCAAGGCGACGAUCCGUAACUGGUCUGAGAGGAUGAUCAGUCACACUGGAACUGAGACACGGUCCAGACUCCUACGGGAGGCAGCAGUGGGGAAUAUUGGACAAUGGGCGAAAGCCUGAUCCAGCCAUGCCGCGUGUGUGAAGAAGGUCUUCGGAUUGUAAAGCUCUUUAAGUUGGGAGGAAGGGCAGUAAGUUAAUACCUUGCUGUUUUGACGUUACCAACAGAAUAAGCACCGGCUAACUUCGUG
rnacentral:rRNA from 1 species